ACGGGAGGCAGCAGUCGGGAAUAUUGCACAAUGGAGGAAACUCUGAUGCAGUGACGCCGCGUAUAGGAAGAAGGUUUUCGGAUUGUAAACUAUUGUCGAAGGGGAAGAAACAAAUGACAGUACCCUUGGAGGAAGCCCCGGCUAACUACGUGCCAGCAGCCGCGGUAAUACGUAGGGGGCAAGCGUUGUCCGGAUUUAUUGGGUGUAAAGGGCGCGUAGACGGCUUUUUAAGUUGGUUGUGAAAUCCCUCGGCUCAACUGAGGAACUGCAACCAAAACUGGAGAGCUUGAGUGCAGGAGAGGAAAGUGGAAUUCCUAGUGUAGCGGUGGAAUGCGUAGAUAUUAGGAGGAACACCAGUGGCGAAGGCGACUUUCUGGACUGUAACUGACGUUGAGGCGCGAAAGUGUGGGGAGCAAACAGGAUUAGAUACCCUGGUA
rnacentral:rRNA from 1 species